GACGAACGCUGGCGGCGUGCUUAACACAUGCAAGUCGAACGGAAAGGCCCUGCUUUUGUGGGGUGCUCGAGUGGCGAACGGGUGAGUAACACGUGAGUAACCUGCCCUUGACUUUGGGAUAACUUCAGGAAACUGGGGCUAAUACCGGAUAGGAGCUCCUGCGGCAGGGGGGGGGUUGGAAAGUUUCGGCGGUUGGGGAUGGACUCGCGGCUUAUCAGCUUGUUGGUGGGGUAGUGGCUUACCAAGGCUUUGACGGGUAGCCGGCCUGAGAGGGUGACCGGCCACAUUGGGACUGAGAUACGGCCCAGACUCCUACGGGAGGCAGCAGUGGGGAAUAUUGCACAAUGGGCGGAAGCCUGAUGCAGCAACGCCGCGUGCGGGAUGACGGCCUUCGGGUUGUAAACCGCUUUCGCCUGUGACGAAGCGUGAGUGACGGUAAUGGGUAAAGAAGCACCGGCUAACUACGUG
rnacentral:rRNA from 1 species